AGGCGACUGGAGGCAGAGACCAA
rnacentral:piRNA from 1 species